rnacentral:rRNA from 1 species
UACAGAGGUGGCGAGCGUUGUUCGGAUUUACUGGGCGUAAAGGGUGUGUAGGCGGCAUCGCAUGUCGGAUGUGAAAGCUUCCCGCCUAACGGGAGAACUGCAUCCGAAACUGCGGAGCUAGAGUACUGGAGAGGAGAGCGGAAUUCUCGGUGUAGCGGUGAAAUGCGUAGAUAUCGAGAGGAACACCGGUGGCGAAAGCGGCUCUCUGGACAGAUACUGACGCUGAGACACGAAAGCCAGGGGAGCAAAAAGG